UACGUAGGGUGCAAGCGUUAAUCGGAAUUACUGGGCGUAAAGCGUGCGCAGGCGGUUUUGUAAGUCUGAUGUGAAAUCCCCGGGCUCAACCUGGGAACUGCAUUUGUGACUGCAUGGCUAGAGUUUGGCAGAGGGGGGUAGAAUUCCACGUGUAGCAGUGAAAUGCGUAGAUAUGUGGAGGAACACCGAUGGCGAAGGCAGCCCCCUGGGUCAAGACUGACGCUCAUGCACGAAAGCGUGGGGAGCAAACAGG
rnacentral:rRNA from 1 species